UACGGAGGGGGCAAGCGUUGUUCGGAUUUACUGGGCGUAAAGUGUCCGUAGGUGGUUGUGUAAGUCUGGUGUGAAAUCUUCGCCGCUUAACGGGAAGAAGCCACUGGAAACUGCGCAACUUGAGUAUGGUAGAGGCAAGCGGAAUUCCUGGUGUAGCGGUGGAAUGUGUAGAUAUCAGGAAGAACAUCUGUGGCGAAGGCGGCUUGCUGGGCCAUCACUGACACUGAGGGACGAAAGCGUGGGGAGCAAACGGG
rnacentral:rRNA from 1 species